CCACUACAUAUUUAUUCGACGUCAAAGCAGGACAUUUGUUUUAAAAGCCAAGGCAUGUUAACAGAAGUUGGGGGAAAAGACAAUAAUUAUUUAGUGAAUCCUGGGCAGUGGCAUUGCGUUUGAGGUCUUCCUCAAUAGUUGACUCAUCUGGAAACCCAGUCCUGAAAUAGAGUUUAGCAAACAUAGUGAUGGCAAGAAUACUAACCAGGCAGUGUCGUGUCCUAAGCAGAGAUGGUUCCCGCACACAAAUAUUCCACUUCCUGGCACAUACGCCCACCUCUUGGUCUGGCGUCACCUGGAUUUUGAGUUCAUCAUUGGCUACAGUAGUCUCUACCAAUGGAUCUUAUACUAGACAUAAACUUAUUUUGGUCAUUGAUGAUAAUGUUUGUCUUCUUCUAUUUGCAUGUGUUCAUUACAGUACCUCCCUGAUAUUGAUCUAGUGCUCUAUGGCUUACCAAAGACAACCGUGAGAAGGAGCAUUUUCCACUAGAAGCUCCUUCAUCCACCAUAUGAAAACCUGUUGCCAUACUUCACCCAAACAGGGACAGCUUUAGAAAUAUGCCUUUCCCUUUUCUCCAGUGAGGGUCAGGAGCAGACUCUGGGCUGCGGCAGGGUGUAGUUUGACUUCUGGCUCUGGUGUUCACUGGCUUUGGGUUCUUGAGCAGAAGCAGAGUUUCUCUGAGCCUCCGUUUCCCCUCUCCUUCCACCCCAUACACCAUCUCUGCCCAGUCAGAUGAGAGACUCUAGGUUCAGUGAGGGCUGACAUUUACAUAAAUGUGGGAUAAUACAUCACUCAGAGUGGAGAAAGAGUGGGAUCUUCUGUAGCUUAAGAUGGGCAAUUUCUUAGAUUCAUCUUGGUUUGGAGAGCUGCUUGCUGGGAAGGAACUAGACUGAUUCUCCUGGACACUGUGAGAUACCCUACUCCUAAUCCAAAAUCAGCCUUUAUCAGAGUGGAUCCACCAUAGAGGGGAUGUCUCCACAUGGAAGAGGAGUUUAGGCUAGUGAACUUGGCUUAAUACAAAGAGCUGGGAGUUCCUGGGGAAGAGCUGAAUUUGGCAUGGUAUGUGGUGAGGCCAAGACCCUCCAGGAUCUCAUCUUUGUGGCACGAUAGGGACAACCUUGGAGCCCGAGUGUGGCUCAUGACUUCAUUGUGAUUAGAAAUCUAUUCAUCAAGAUGGGACCUAAUUAAACUAAAAAGCUUCUGCACAGCCAAAGAAAUAAUCAGCAGAGUAAACAGACAACCCACAGAGUGGGAGAUAAUAUUCACAAUCUAUGCAUCUGACAAAAGGUGAAUAUCCAGAAUCUACAAGGACUCAAACAAAGCAGCAAGAAAAAAAUAAUAAUCCCAUCAAAAAGUGGGCAAAGUACAUGAACAGACCAUUCUCAAAGGCAUACAAAUGUCAAGAAACAUAUGAAAAAAAUGUUCAACAUCAUUAAUUACCAGGAAAAUACAAAUUAAAACCACAAUGAGAUACCACCUUACUCCUGCAAGAAUGGCCAUAAUUGAAAAAUCAAAAAAUAAUAGAUGUUGGCAUUGAUGUGGUGGAAAGGGAAUGCUUUUACACCGCUGGUGGGAAUGUAAACUAGUACAACCACUAUGGAAAACAGUAUGAAGAUUCCUUAAAGAACUAAAAGUAGAUCUAACAUAUGAUCCAG
rnacentral:lncRNA from 1 species